AAUCAACGCUGGCGGCGUGCCUCAGACAUGCAAGUCGAACGAUUAAAGCUCCCUUCGGGGAGUGCAUAGAGUGGCGCACGGGUGAGUAACACGUAAGUAAUCUACCCUCGGGUGGGGAAUAACGUUCGGAAACGGACGCUAAUACCGCAUAAUGCAGCGGCACCGCAAGGUGACAGUUGUUAAAGAUUUAUUGCCUGGGGAGGAGCUUGCGGCAGAUUAGCUUGUUGGUAAGGAACGGCUUACCAAGGCUACGAUCUGUAUCCGGUCUAAGAGGACGGUCGGACACACUGACACUGAAUAACGGGUCAGACUCCUACGGGAGGCAGCAGUCGGGAAUUUUGGGCAAUGGGGGAAACCCUGACCCAGCAACGCCGCGUGAAGGAUGAAGUAUUUCGGUAU
rnacentral:rRNA from 1 species